UUUAGCCUACGGGAGGCAGCAGUGGGGAAUAUUGCACAAUGGGGGAAACCCUGAUGCAGCGACGCCGCGUGAGUGAGGAAGUAUUUCGGUAUGUAAAGCUCUAUCAGCGGGGAAGAAAAUGACGGUACCUGACUAAGAAGCCCCGGCUAACUACGUGCCAGCAGCCGCGGUAAUACGAAGGGGGCAAGCGUUAUCCGGAUUUACUGGGUGUAAAGGGAGCGUAGACGGUUAAUCAAGUCAGAAGUGAAAACCCAGGGCUCAACCAUGGGACUGCUUUUGAAACUGAGUAGCUAGAGAGCAGGAGG
rnacentral:rRNA from 1 species